AUGAUGAAACAUGGCCCCUGGUUAUAGGCGCAUGAACUUGUUUUGUUUGCCCAAGCUGACGGGUAAAACUUGCUCAUAAAUUCCCUCUGAGGGUGAGCUUGCGAAAGAUUCUCGCUCUGCCGGAAGCCCGGCCAGCCUGCCCUCCGCAGAGAAGUGAGAAGCCAGCAGCCUCAGGCGGGGGAUGGGAGGCAGCCCGGCCCGCCCUGUCCAGGAUCCUCUCGCGGAUCCCGCGGCUGGAGGAUGUGGGCACUUUUCACAGGGGCCACAGCACCUCUUGGGAAUUGAAGAGACGGAUUCGUCAACCAUACCUCAAUAAAGCUGACAAAAUUAAAGGUGGACGACGUCAGGAUUCGGUAUUUGUAGAUCUUGCAAAGUGAUCACUACAAUAAAUCUAGAAAUCGGGGUCCCACUGUGGGAGCUGGUGGGAGCACCCAGCGGUCACCCGUGGUAGGGAAGCCUUCGGCCCCAACAGGCAGAAAAAGACCUGGAAAAGAAGAAAGAGGGUGACAAAAUCCAAAUCAAAGUUGAAAGCCGUCCAGUGAACUUUUGUUCCUUUCAUCCAGGCGUCUGGGGACAGAGAAACAAACCGCUAAAAAUACAACAAAAGCUCGUUUGAUGGCGAAGGCCCUCCUCCACCUUCUGGAUCAGGACACCUGAUGGUAUGGGGUCUUCAGCCUGAGGAAAGAAGGAAUUUCUCGUCCCAGAAACUGAAGGGGUGGCCCUGAGGGGUCCUGAGAGGGGCAAGUUCAUGGCCAACACUCUGAAUGGGGGUCACUGUUCAAAGCAGUGAUCCCAUGGUGUGCCGGCCUUGUCUGCCAAAACGGACCUACUGCCCACGAGAAAUGUAAUCAAUUGGGAUCCAAAACUGGAAUCUGUUACUACCACUCUUGCUGGAUGCAGUCCUCACUUGUGGGGUUUUACGACUUCAUCCUAAUUUGUUCGCACAGGAAUUUUUGUUGGUGGAUUUGGUUAUUUUGUGGCAUUGCAGAUUUUCCGCGGUGACCGUGUAUUUUAUGGGCAUCCACGCCCGAGGGGAGCAAUCUUCAUUUGCUAGGGCUACUGUAAGCAAGUAGCACAGGCUGGGGGGCUUGAACAGCAGAAGUGUAAUUCCUGGGCGCCUGGGCGGCUCAGUCGGGUUAAGCAUCUGCCAUCGGCUCAGGUCAUGGUCCCGGGGUCCUGGGAUCAAGUCCCGCAUCUGGCUCCCUGCUCAGCAGGGAGACUGCUUCUC